rnacentral:sRNA from 1 species
CUGAACCUGGGAGGCGGAGGUUGCAGUGAGCUGAGAUUGCACCACUGCACUCCAGCCUGGGUAACAGAGCGAGACUCCGUAUCAAAGAAAAAGAAAAAAGAAAAAAUGCUGGAGGGGCCACUUUAGAUAAGCCCUGAGUUGGGGCUGGUUUGGGGGGAACAUGUAAGCCAAGAUCAAAAAGCAGUGAGGGGCCCGCCCUGACGACUGCUGCUCACAUCUGUGUGUCUUGCGCAGGAGACACUGUCGGACAUUCGGGAAGGUGCGCCGCUAGGGGUCCACCUGCCUUUCGUGGGCUACUCCUACUCCUGCAUGGCCCUCAGGGACAGUGAGGUCCCAGGCCCCACACCCAUGGAACUGGAGGCCGAGCAGCUGCUUGAGCCACACGUGCAAGCGCCCAGCCUGGAGCCCUCGGUGUCCCCACAGGAUGAAACAGCUGAAGUGGCAGUUCCAGCGGCUGUCCCUGCGGCAGAGGCUGAGGCCGAGGUGACGCUGCGGGAGCUCCAGGAAGCCCUGGAGGAGGAGGUGCUCACCCGGCAGAGCCUGAGCCGGGAGAUGGAGGCCAUCCGCACGGACAACCAGAACUUCGCCAGUCAACUACGCGAGGCAGAGGCUCGGAACCGGGACCUAGAGGCACACGUCCGGCAGCUGCAGGAGCGGAUGGAGUUGCUGCAGGCAGAGGGAGCCACAGGUGAGUACCUCAUGUGUCCCCUUCCCCGGAGGACC